rnacentral:sRNA from 1 species
CCUCCCCCGCCGAACAUCCCUAAUCUCCCCUGGCUAUUCUCUCUUGUCAACCAUGGGAUGUGUUAUUCCUCCCUCCCCCUUUCUGACAUGACACCUGCUGUAAUUGAAUCUUAGGCGACAGGGGCACGCCCGAGUGCCCCUUAACGCUUACCGCGGUCGCUGACCCCUAUCUUCCUCGUCUGGCAAGCGUAAGCGUUCUUUUUGGUGCGAGAAGGUCGCGUAGCAGCAGUGCAGUACACCGGGUUGCAACUAGAUCAACCUCCUUCCAGAGAGGAUGGCGCCUCUUUGGAGCAAACUCGUAUUCAGAGC